rnacentral:ncRNA from 17 species
CUCUUAUCUAGAGCGGCAGAGGGACUGGCCCUAUGAAGCCCGGCAACCUAACUUUUUUUAGUGAAGGUGCUAAUUCCAGCAACAUUUCUAAAUGUUGACAGAUAAGAG